AUACGUAGGUGGCAAGCGUUGUCCGGAAUUAUUGGGCGUAAAGCGCGCGCAGGCGGUUAUGUAAGUCUGAUGUUAAAGCCCGGGGCUCAACCUCGGUCCGCAUUGGAAACUGCGUAACUUGAGUGCAGAAGAGGAAAGUGGUAUUCCACGUGUAGCGGUGAAAUGCGUAGAGAUGUGGAGGAACACCAGUGGCGAAGGCGACUUUCUGGUCUGUAACUGACGCUGAGGCGCGAAAGCGUGGGGAGCAAACAGGAUUAGAUACCCUGGUAGUCCACGCCGUAAACGAUGAGUGCUAGGUGUUGGGGGUUUCAAUACCCUCAGUGCCGCAGCUAACGCAAUAAGCACUCCGCCUGGGGAGUACGCUCGCAAGAGUGAA
rnacentral:rRNA from 1 species